UUUCUCGAGAAAGCCAUCAUACGUCCUAUCAUCUGUCCAGCCAUAAUUACCUGACGGUUUAACUUUCCCAAAACCCUUUUGCCGUCCAAAAUGCUCCCCUUGUUUCCAGAUAUUCAUUUCCUCCAAAAAAACAUUUCUUCACCGAUGUUUUGAAUCCCAGGGAGCAAACAUUGCCUUUCUUCAAAGACUUCAGUCUGGUUCUCUGAUCCAAUCGUCUUCCAGUGCUUUAACUGCAUAUAUUGGCACUAAUCCUUCCAG
rnacentral:lncRNA from 1 species